GCGGAAAUAGCUCAGUUGGUAGAGCACUAGCUUCCCAAGCUAGGGGUCGCGAGUUCGAGUCUCGUUUUCCGCU
rnacentral:tRNA from 1 species